rnacentral:rRNA from 1 species
GACGAACGCUGGCGGCGUGCUUAACACAUGCAAGUCGAACGGAAAGGCCUUUUCGGAGGUACUCGAGUGGCGAACGGGUGAGUAACACGUGGGUGAUCUGCCCUGCACUCUGGGAUAAGCCUGGGAAACUGGGUCUAAUACCGGAUAGGACCGCACUUUAGUGUGUGUGGUGGAAAGUUUUUUCGGUGUAGGAUGAGCCCGCGGCCUAUCAGCUUGUUGGUGGGGUAAUGGCCUACCAAGGCGGCGACGGGUAGCCGGACUGAGAGGUUGGUCGGCCACAUUGGGACUGAGAUACGGCCCAGACUCCUACGGGAGGCAGCAGUGGGGAAUAUUGCACAAUGGGCGCAAGCCUGAUGCAGCGACGCCGCGUGGGGGAUGACGGCCUUCGGGUUGCAAACUCCUUUCGCCAGGGACGAAGCGUUUUGUGACGGUACCUGGAGAAGAAGCACCGGCUAACUACGUG